UGAUGGCGAUGAGGACAAUUUUUGAGCAUGCCUUUAAAUCUCUCCAACGCUUGGUACAGAUUUUCUCCAUCUGUUUGUCUGAAACUUAAGAUCUCACUCCUCAAUCG
rnacentral:snoRNA from 1 species